rnacentral:rRNA from 1 species
AUUGAACGCUGGCGGCAUGCCUUACACAUGCAAGUCGAACGGCAGCGCGGGGCAACCUGGCGGCGAGUGGCGAACGGGUGAGUAAUAUAUCGGAACGUACCCUGGAGUGGGGGAUAACGUAGCGAAAGUUACGCUAAUACCGCAUACGAUCUAUGGAUGAAAGCAGGGGACCGCAAGGCCUUGUGCUCCUGGAGCGGCCGAUAUCUGAUUAGCUAGUUGGUAGGGUAAAAGCCUACCAAGGCAUCGAUCAGUAGCUGGUCUGAGAGGACGACCAGCCACACUGGAACUGAGACACGGUCCAGACUCCUACGGGAGGCAGCAGUGGGGAAUUUUGGACAAUGGGCGCAAGCCUGAUCCAGCAAUGCCGCGUGAGUGAAGAAGGCCUUCGGGUUGUAAAGCUCUUUUGUCAGGGAAGAAACGGGUCUUUCUAAUACAGAGAUCUAAUGACGGUACCUGAAGAAUAAGCACCGGCUAACUACGUGCCAGCAGCCGCGGUAAUACGUAGGGUGCAAGCGUUAAUCGGAAUUACUGGGCGUAAAGCGUGCGCAGGCGGUUUUGUAAGACUGUCGUGAAAUCCCCGGGCUCAACCUGGGAAUGGCGAUGGUGACUGCAAGGCUAGAGUUUGGCAGAGGGGGGUAGAAUUCCACGUGUAGCAGUGAAAUGCGUAGAUAUGUGGAGGAACACCGAUGGCGAAGGCAGCCCCCUGGGUCAAAACUGACGCUCAUGCACGAAAGCGUGGGGAGCAAACAGGAUUAGAUACCCUGGUAGUCCACGCCCUAAACGAUGUCUACUAGUUGUCGGGUUUUAAUUAACUUGGUAACGCAGCUAACGCGUGAAGUAGACCGCCUGGGGAGUACGGUCGCAAGAUUAAAACUCAAAGGAAUUGACGGGGACCCGCACAAGCGGUGGAUGAUGUGGAUUAAUUCGAUGCAACGCGAAAAACCUUACCUACCCUUGACAUGGCAGAAAUCCCGGAGAGAUUUGGGAGUGCUCGAAAGAGAAUCUGCACACAGGUGCUGCAUGGCUGUCGUCAGCUCGUGUCGUGAGAUGUUGGGUUAAGUCCCGCAACGAGCGCAACCCUUGUCAUUAGUUGCUACGAAAGAGCACUCUAAUGAGACUGCCGGUGACAAACCGGAGGAAGGUGGGGAUGACGUCAAGUCCUCAUGGCCCUUAUGGGUAGGGCUUCACACGUCAUACAAUGGUACAUACAGAGGGCCGCCAACCCGCGAGGGGGAGCUAAUCCCAGAAAGUGUAUCGUAGUCCGGAUUGUAGUCUGCAACUCGACUGCAUGAAGUUGGAAUCGCUAGUAAUCGCGGAUCAGCAUGUCGCGGUGAAUACGUUCCCGGGUCUUGUACACACCGCCCGUCACACCAUGGGAGCGGGUUUUACCAGAAGUAGGUAGCUUAACCGCAAGGAGGGCGCUUACCACGGUAGGAUUCGUGACUGGGGUG